AUCAGCAUUUCCACAGAGGCUGUGUAGCAGCUUCCCUUCACCUUCCUCUGCCAUCCUGCCAUGGGAUGAACCAGCACAGCAUAAACCAGCAGGCAUAAACCAACAAGCCUCCCAGUCAGGAACCCAUUGGAGAGUCCUGCUGGAAAAUGCCUGUGAGCUGCAGGAGAGCCUUGCACAGAGACCCAAAGAGAAAUGAGCACAAGGACAGGCACUUGCUGUUCCCACAUCUGUGUGGCCAUAGUUCUCAGCCAUCACACCACCCAUUUAAGAAGAGAUCUUCCUGGGUCCAGGCUGCAUGAAGCAUUAGCAGCCCUCUGACUCUCAGCCACCUGUAAGUGUAGUCUCCAUGAGAAGAUCAGUGAUGCAGAAUCGAAAGGCAAACCUGGAGCUGGACUCAAAUGAUCCUUAUGGUCCCUUGCAACUUGGGUUAUUCUAUGAUUCCAUGAAUUCGUAAUUUCAUCAGACAUAGCAGCACUGCAUCUUCCAUCUUCUUGACCUUGUGGUUUCAAGAGGGAUCUACACCACUGUUGAAAAUAUAUAACUUUCCAGCCCAUCUCUUGCCAGCUGCUCUGCUAUUGUCUUUUUCUUACCAGAAUAAGUAACUUCCACUUUAUAACAAGCCAAAUCCCCAUUAAAAGCAUGAACUGAUCAAUGUGAAGUAAUUUAAGGAAGCUAUUGCGAGGAAGACAUUACAAAUUAUACCUUUUACAUUGGCUGAACAAAACUUUCAAUGGGCAUCACAAUGAACAUCAGGUUCUUUCCCUCACUUUAGAUGUAGAGGAAAGAAAAGAACAAUCACACAGUGUUAAGAAAAGCAACCUGGCAAGGAAUCAUGGUGUCUUGUGCUCUUGUGUAAUGUCUAAGUGUUUUCAGCAGACUACAGUUGAACCUGCCCAAGUAAAUCAGAGCUAUGAGUAUGGAUUCCUCUGUCAGCAUAAGCUUUUCAUUCACACCUUACUACAGCUCUUGACAGCUGUGGCUUCCUUGUCAGAUUAAAUGUAUCAGGCCUCUGCAUCUAAUUUCAAACCAAGUAAGAAAGAAAAUCUUAUUAAAAACACGCAAAGGUGGGAGUGUGGGGAAUGAUGAACACAGACCAAUACAAGUAGCCAUGUGCUCUGGGAAUGCAGUAAGUUCUUAUGCCAUAUGUAGCUAAUAGUUUUUAUGGUACUUUUCUGUGGCUGCGUCUAAUACAAUCUCAGUAUUUUCUAAACACUCAGAGAUUGUUCACUCUGCAAGAAAUUCAAAUCUGAAGCCUAUGGGAAAAUGCAGAAGAUGUGGGGCCCUUCUUCUCAGCCUGUGACAAAGUGAGGCUAUCCCAGCUGGCACCGGUUCCCUUUGCCCUGACACACUCUGAAAGCAUUGCCAGCAGAAGAGACCUAUCCAUCUCCUCUCUUGAAUAAAAACAUGAGCUAUUGAAGAAAAGUAUUUAAACACAGUGGACUAUGUAAGGUAUCACACGCCUCAAGGUAAUUCUUACAGAAGAGCACCUUAAAUAGAUCCUUUUGAAAUGCUCUCUCAGGACAACGGGUAAAUAACUGCUCCAAAGAGUGUCAUUAAAAAUCCAUCCUUUGACAUGACACUAAAUGAAUUGAAAUUUUGUAACUGGUUUCAGUGGGGCCAGAAUUUUGUUUUACAUAACAUGGAUAGAGACGAUACAGACUGACUUGUUUUAGUUUUGAAGAAGAAAGACUCCAUCUUAGUCUGACAAACUUUUGAUGUCAGUAUUUAACUGGGAAAAAAAAGAGUUAUGUGAAAAACAUAGCUGGCUUGGAUUUCUUCCUCCCUUGCAACUAGUGAGAAGCAGCUCUUGACACUUACUGAACUGAUCAAAACACUCACUUCAAAUAACUUAUGUUACAAAUUUCAUGCUUUCUAUGGUUCAUGAAUCAUUGGCAAAUUGAUCUUGAUUCCUGGAAAUGUCGUUGUUAAGCAGAUAUGAUUAGUGACUAGCAUUGCACAAUAUUUUCUCAUCAUCUGGCUGUUUGCAAGUUGUAACCUUUAGGCAUUCAGUAUACAGAUUUUAUAAUUGGUGUCUUCACUCAGAAGGCUUAUCCUUCCUGACUGGAUGAUAGGCAUUUUAAAAUGAUGCUUUCCCAAAUGAUAAAUGAAAACGUCUAUCCCCAGAUAACACUGUGGGACACCAAGGACAAUCAAAUAUCACCACAAAUAACCAAAGCAGUUUACAAAGAGAAGAGUAACUAAUUUACAACUCCAAUUUAAUCAAGCUGAAGUACUUUCACUGAAAAGCAAAGAAUUGUUGUGAUAUUUGAAUGUUUUCUCAUGAUUCACACCACACAGAAACAUCUCCAUGUAACAGUACCCUAUCCAGGCAUUUCUACUAGGGGUCCAACGGGACCCAAAAAUCUCUGACACAGUGCUGUGUAAGACCUAUGCAGAAUGUCUCAAUUAAUGGUCCUCAAAGUAAUGCAAAGAUGUGAAGCUGUGUGAAGAUUCUUACUUAAACAAAACUAUUUCUUUCCUACGCUGUGAUGGAGAACUUGAGAUGCUUUUCCAGAUUCCAAGUGGAAAGUUGAAGACUAUAAAUCAUUCCUUGUGAGUGUUAUCUCCUAUAAACCCCCUCCCCCCCCAGAUUUGGACUCAGGAAGGAUUUACAAGUAACAAACAGAAAUCCUUGGAGAAUAAGGAAGGUAAAUAUUUAAAACAGUCAUUGAAAGUUGCGCGCGCAGAAGCAAUUAACAAAUCACAGGAUUUGUGCUCAUUCUCUUCACAGGCCGCUAAACUUCUCCCCUCACCAGGCUGGCCUAUUACCAAAUAACAUGAUUUGUACCACUUUCUGAGUCUGUUUUAGAGAAAUGAAGAAAAGAGCAACAGGGAGGCAAGGCAAACAACUGCAAGAAAAAAAAACAGUCAUCUCCUCCACCAUGCUUUCCAAAAAUAGGCUUCCUCCCUUCCAUUAAAGUAAACUGCCUUGUUAAUCCUCAUGCAGCCAAGGAGUGCUUUUUUCCCCCCUCUUGUUCAAAAAGGAUUAUUAUUUUUUCUUUAAUAUAGGUUAUUAGAAAUAGAAGAGCCACAAAAGCCAAUUUCAUUUGGAGCCUUGUUCCUGCUCACCCCUUCUUGCUGGCCAGCUGUGUCAUUCCAGCCAAACCUCAUUCAAUGCUGCCCAUAAGCAGACUCCCCCUGGGCAUAACACGAUGAAAUUACCACUGGACCAGCACAGGUGCACUUACUUUGUCUGCCCUAUAAAUCUAGCCUGUGGGAUGACUUAUAUAAAUAAAAUGAAUGAUUUCGUACUUGUAAGGACUUGAUAGGGGUCAGUGAUUUGCUGAACACCAGCACAAUUUCUCAGCAUAGAAUGGGUAAACCAGGAGGUCUUAAUGCAAAGUUUUGAUUAGCCAUGCAUGAUGGCUUAAUACAAGUGGGAGGAAGGCAUAACACAGGGAAUCAUUACUCAGACAUGUGCAUUUAUGAAAUCAUUAAUGGGCUAAAGCAGCUAGCUUUUUUUUUUUUUUUUAAACUAUAGAUCUUGGUUUUAGGAAGACUGAUCAUGCAUCCACUAGUAGGAGCUCUGGGCAGAACCCUGAUCACCUGUAAUUGAGGGUUUUCUGUUACCUGCUUGGUGGUCUGAGCUCCUGGGCUCAUACACAGGUGGAUGAUAGAUGCCAACAGCACAUUCUUUGUUAGGCUAAUUCAGAUAGGCUCUGGGCUCUCAGGGAACGCUAGCUCCUGACUGAAUGAGAGACCCUAUGAAUCCUUUAAUUUGCACUGUUCUCUACCAUGCUAACUCUUACUAGAAGAGAUUUGCUCUGGGCUUAUUUGAGGCUCUUUUAGUCAUUUCUUUUGUGACCAAAAGAUAAGGCUUCCUCUAGCCUUCUCUCUUGUUAUGAUUAGUAGAACAGCAACACAAGCAUUAAAAAAAGAUUUUGUCUUCUUUCCAGUUCAACAACCCCAUGACUUUUAUUCUCACCAGCCUUCCUCUAGCUCUCUCACCACAAAAGGCAGAUUUUGCCAACAACUAUUUGCAUUGAGCGUUGUGAGAUGGGGAAGGGAACUGCUUUGCCUAUAUGAACAUUACUUGUAGCCCUUACCUUCCUCUCAGCUCUUCAGAAAUACCUCUCCUACAAAGCACUAGAUCCCACUGAAUAGCAAGGAGGAGAAAACAGCCCCACAGGUUCCACCCUUCACUCACCUUCAA